UACAGAGGGGGCAAGCGUUGUUCGGAAUUACUGGGCGUAAAGGGCGCGUAAGCGGCCUGCUAAGUCGAACGUGAAAUCCCUGGGCUCAACCCAGGAACUGCGUCCGAUACUGGUUGGCUUGAAUCCGGAAGAGGGGUGCGGAAUUCCAGGUGUAGCGGUGAAAUGCGUAGAUAUCUGGAGGAACACCGGUGGCGAAGGCGGCAUCCUGGACCGGCAUUGACGCUGAGGCGCGAAAGCCAGGGGAGCAAACGGG
rnacentral:rRNA from 1 species